rnacentral:sRNA from 1 species
GUCGCGGCUAGAUUUAGCGGCCGAACGCCAGCUACCCGAGCUGGCCCGCCGCGACGUUUUCUUACUUCGGG